AUGUUUUUGGGGGAGUGCUUUCGUUUCGUGCUGCUGUGAAGCGUAAGAGCUGCGCUGACCGGGCAUUGUAAUCAGGCGUCAUCAACAAUAAUUCCAAAUAUGGUUAACUGUGCUGUGUUGGGAUGCAACAACGAGUCAAGGCGGAAAGCUGACUGUGGUGAAAACACGACGAAAGUCAGUUUUUUUUCUGUUCCGACUGUUGUUCGUCGGCAGUGCAACCAGACCCUCGAGGUCUCAACGAAACGUCGGGCGGAAUGGUUUCGUCGCCUCAACCGUGGUUACAUUAAUACCAACGCUACUCACUACAAGGUCUGCAGCGAGCACUUCGUUUCUGGAAGGCCAUCCUACCUGAUGGACGUUACAAACCCAGACUGGGCACCCAGCUUACACUUGGGGUAUGACAGAAACUCAGCUGCUAAAUCUGAAGCAAGGCACCAGCGACGUUGCAAGAGGGCUGCGACCUCAAAGGAGAUCCAAGAGGGCAAUAGCAGAGUUCUCCAGCCUUCAAAUGUGUUGAACGUGCAGCACAGCGCUGUGUGCAGAACUGUCACGGGUACAAUGGCUUAUUCAUACAUGGGGACUAUUUCCUUUAAUGACAUUCAGCAUCUUUAUAGCACCUUGAUUCUAUACAGGCACACCACUUGCACGCCCUGUUACAGCACAUAACAAGGAAGCUGAUGAGCCACAUUGCGCACUCAACAGCGGUUCAGGUCAGUGCCCUAGAUAAGCUGUUCAUACAGGCUGGAUUUUACAUCACAGUGUGCUUGUAAUGGAAUUAUAUUGUUCCCGAUGGUCUUUGAGCUAGCAGGCAGUGGCAAGUUGUGUACUUUUAAUUUUUGCAUGGUUGGUCUUUCUGACAAAAAUUACAAAACCUCACUAUUUGCUCAUCCUCUACCCUAUUGCUUGCAGUAAACAGCGUCAUAUAUCCAACAGUCCUACAGCGUAAACUAUUUGGUGCUUCCCUCUCUCUGGAGUAGUGGGCCCAUUAUGUGAGCACAAAAUUGGUGGUUGUGAAAUAGCAAUGACAACACUUCAAUGCAGGUCAAUCCAUGCUGCAACAAGUACCAGCUUCAACCGUAGCUCAAGAUGCUGAUGAUACUGUUGCUGACGUUUAUUGAGUGAUUUGUGUUUACACAGUUCAAACGGCCCGAGUACUUUAAUUUAGGAACAUAACUUCAAUGAUUGACAACACCUCAUUGCAGACCCACCAUCUGUGCAAUCACCCGAGGAAGGCAGGGCCUCAGCUGAAAUGGGUUCUCCAGUUGGAGUUGUAGUGGAUGCCUCAUAUUAUGUAAAGUUUUCUGAAGCUGGUGUUCAAGCCACCACUUCGACAGCUGAAGCUUCAGUAAAUACCACUUCAUUGCUAAAGGAUGCUGAAACUCAAACUGACAUCACAGGCAGUGUUCUGAAGAGUUUUGAAGCUGAUAACCAGGUCCUACGCACCGAG
rnacentral:misc_RNA from 1 species